rnacentral:tRNA from 1 species
GAGCCCGUGGCUCAAUGGUAGAGCGUUCGACUCAAAUCCGAAAGGUCGCGGGUUCAAAUCCCAGGUGUUCC